rnacentral:lncRNA from 1 species
UAGACGCGUAGUGGGCUUAAAUCCGAGUGGUAUCGAGAAAUAUACAAACAAAAUACGUAGAGGGGCAAAACUGUGAUUUUUCAAAAAGUCAUAUUUUUAUUUUUCUUCUCCCUUUCUUUCUCUCUCUUUCCCUCUCUCUCAACCCGUGACAAAACCCUUCCUCCCUUCGAACUUUUCAACCGUUGCCCCUUCAACCACCAUAGCCAC